GAGCGGUAACAGGAGAAAGCUUGCUUUCUUGCUGACGAGCGGCGGACGGGUGAGUAAUGUAUGGGGAUCUGCCCGAUAGAGGGGGAUAACUACUGGAAACGGUGGCUAAUACCGCAUAAAGUCUACGGACCAAAGCAGGGGCUCUUAGGACCUUGCACUAUCGGAUGAACCCAUAUGGGAUUAGGUAGUAGGUGGGGUAAAGGCUCACCUAGGCGACGAUCUCUAGCUGGUCUGAGAGGA
rnacentral:rRNA from 1 species